rnacentral:rRNA from 1 species
GGCCGCGGGAAUUCGAUUGGAUCGCCCUUAGAGUUUGAUCAUGGCUCAGAACGAACGCUGGCGGCGCGUUUUAAGCAUGCAAGUCGAGCGGCAAGGGCCUUCGGGCCCCUAGAGCGGCGGACGGGUGAGUAACACGUGGACAAUCUGCCCCCCGGCCGGGGAUAGCCCAGGGAAACCUGGAUUAAUACCGGAUGAGACGGGACCCGCGGAGGCGGGAUCCGGGAAAGGCGCUGCGGCGCCGCCGGGGGAUGAGUCUGCGUCCCAUUAGCUAGACGGCGGGGUGAAGGCCCACCGUGGCGACGAUGGGUAGCCGGCCUGAGAGGGUGGACGGCCACAUUGGAACUGAGACACGGUCCAGACUCCUACGGGAGGCAGCAGCUAAGAAUCUUCCGCAAUGGGCGAAAGCCUGACGGAGCGACGCCGCGUGAACGAAGAAGGCCGUGAGGUUGUAAAGUUCUUUUCGGGAGGGGGAACAACCGUGGCAGGGAAUGGCCGCGGGAUGACGUGAAUCCCGGAAUAAGCCCCGGCUAACUACGUGCCAGCAGCCGCGGUAACACGUAGGGGGCGAGCGUUGUUCGGAAUCAUUGGGCGUAAAGGGCGUGCAGGCGGUCCUGCAAGUCCGGCGUGAAAGACCCCGGCCCAACCGGGGGGGCGCGCUGGAAACUGCAGGGCUUGAGUACAGGAGGGGAUGCCGGAAUUCCAGGUGUAGGGGUGAAAUCUGUAGAUAUCUGGAAGAACACCAAUGGCGAAGGCAGGCAUCUGGCCAUG